CAUGCAGUCGAACGAUGAAGCCCAGCUUGCUGGGUGGAUUAGUGGCGAACGGGUGAGUAACACGUGAGCAACCUGCCCCUGACUCUGGGAUAAGCGCUGGAAACGGCGUCUAAUACUGGAUACGAACAAGAAUCGCAUGGUUACUUGUUGGAAAGAUUUUUCGGUUGGGGAUGGGCUCGCGGCCUAUCAGCUUGUUGGUGAGGUAAUGGCUCACCAAGGCGUCGACGGGUAGCCGGCCUGAGAGGGUGACCGGCCACACUGGGACUGAGACACGGCCCAGACUCCUACGGGAGGCAGCAGUGGGGAAUAUUGCACAAUGGGCGCAAGCCUGAUGCAGCAACGCCGCGUGAGGGAUGACGGCCUUCGGGUUGUAAACCUCUUUUAGCAGGGAAGAAGCGAGAGUGACGGUACCUGCAGAAAAAGCACCGGCUAACUACGUGCCAGCAGCCGCGGUAAUACGUAGGGUGCAAGCGUUAUCCGGAAUUAUUGGGCGUAAAGAGCUCGUAGGCGGUUUGUCGCGUCUGCUGUGAAAUCUGGGGGCUCAACCCCCAGCCUGCAGUGGGUACGGGCAGACUAGAGUGCGGUAGGGGAGAUUGGAAUUCCUGGUGUAGCGGUGGAAUGCGCAGAUAUCAGGAGGAACACCGAUGGCGAAGGCAGAUCUCUGGGCCGUAACUGACGCUGAGGAGCGAAAGGGUGGGGAGCAAACAGGCUUAGAUACCCUGGUAGUCCACCCCGUAAACGUUGGGAACUAGUUGUGGGGUCCAUUCCACGGAUUCCGUGACGCAGCUAACGCAUUAAGUUCCCCGCCUGGGGAGUACGGCCGCAAGGCUAAAACUCAAAGGAAUUGACGGGGACCCGCACAAGCGGCGGAGCAUGCGGAUUAAUUCGAUGCAACGCGAAGAACCUUACCAAGGCUUGACAUAUACGAGAACGGGCCAGAAAUGGUCAACUCUUUGGACACUCGUAAACAGGUGGUGCAUGGUUGUCGUCAGCUCGUGUCGUGAGAUGUUGGGUUAAGUCCCGCAACGAGCGCAACCCUCGUUCUAUGUUGCCAGCACGUAAUGGUGGGAACUCAUGGGAUACUGCCGGGGUCAACUCGGAGGAAGGUGGGGAUGACGUCAAAUCAUCAUGCCCCUUAUGUCUUGGGCUUCACGCAUGCUACAAUGGCCGGUACAAUGGGCUGCAAUACCGUGAGGUGGAGCGAAUCCCAAAAAGCCGGUCCCAGUUCGGAUUGAGGUCUGCAACUCGACCUCAUGAAGUCGGAGUCGCUAGUAAUCGCAGAUCAGCAACGCUGCGGUGAAUACGUUCCCGGGUCUUGUACACACCGCCCGUCAAGUCAUGAAAGUCGGUAACACCUGAAGCCGGUGGCCUAACCCCUUGUGGGAGGGAGC
rnacentral:rRNA from 1 species